rnacentral:rRNA from 1 species
UACGUAGGUGGCAAGCGUUGUCCGGAAUUAUUGGGCGUAAAGCGCGCGCAGGCGGCCUUUUAAGUCUGAUGUGAAAGCCCACGGCUCAACCGUGGAAGGUCAUUGGAAACUGAAAGGCUUGAGUACGGAAGAGGAAAGCGGAAUUCCACGUGUAGCGGUGAAAUGUGUAGAGAUGUGGAGGAACACCAGUGGCGAAGGCGGCUUUCUGGUCUGUAACUGACGCUGAGGCGCGAAAGCGUGGGGAGCAAACAGG